rnacentral:rRNA from 1 species
AUGGCCGACGAGCAUCGGAGGGCCGGAGACGGAGGAGCUCCACCACUACUGCCUCCCCGUGCCGCCGGGCUGCCGUCUACCGCGCAACUGGAAGAUCGACGCGGAGGGCUUUGCGACGUUGGGUCCCGGCGCGACGGAGGAGGAGCUCCGCAAGCACAGCGGCGGCCGGCACAACAUCGAAGGCCGAAAGCGGUUUUGGCGCGGGAAGGACUAUUGGGAGGUGAUGGCGGCCUUCCGCCUUGCCGCGGCCGGCGAGACCCCCGAUCUGACGGGCCGCAGCGGCCGUCUUCGCGCACCGCCUCCACCGCAAUAUCGCCGCAGACGUGGCGGCGGCCACGGUGUGUACCCGGCACGGGCGCCCGCGCCGGCCGCCCCUCCCUUGCCGCCAGGGAUCGAGUUGCCGCCGGAGCAGGUCAUCCUCCGCGAGGACGGUGA